rnacentral:rRNA from 1 species
GACGAACGCUGGCGGCGUGCUUAACACAUGCGAGUCGAACGGAAAGGCCCUGCUUGCAGGGUACUCGAGUGGCGAACGGGUGAGUAACACGUGGGUGAUCUGCCCUGCACUUCGGGAUAAGCCUGGGAAACUGGGUCUAAUACCGGCUAGGAGCCAUUUUUAGUGUGAUGGUUGGAAAGUUUUUUCGGUGUAGGAUGAGCUCGCGGCCUAUCAGCUUGUUGGUGGGGUAAUGGCCUACCAAGGCGGCGACGGGUAGCCGGCCUGAGAGGGUGGACGGCCACCUUGGGACUGAGAUACGGCCCAGACUCCUACGGGAGGCAGCAGUGGGGAAUAUUGCACAAUGGGCGCAAGCCUGAUGCAGAGACGCCGCGUGGGGGAUGACGGCCUUCGGGUUGUAAACUCCUUUCGCUAGGGACGAAGCUUUUUGUGACGGUACCUAGAUAAGAAGCACCGGCUAACUACGUG